GAUGAACGCUGGCGGCGUGCCUAAUACAUGCAAGUCGAGCGAACGGACGAGAAGCUUGCUUCUCUGAUGUUAGCGGCGGACGGGUGAGUAACACGUGGAUAACCUACCUAUAAGACUGGGAUAACUUCGGGAAACCGGAGCUAAUACCGGAUAAUAUUUUGAACCGCAUGGUUCAAAAGUGAAAGAUGGUCUUGCUGUCACUUAUAGAUGGAUCCGCGCUGCAUUAGCUAGUUGGUAAGGUAACGGCUUACCAAGGCAACGAUGCAUAGCCGACCUGAGAGGGUGAUCGGCCACACUGGAACUGAGACACGGUCUAGACUCCUACGGGAGGCAGCAGUAGGGAAUCUUCCGCAAUGGGCGAAAGCCUGACGGAGCAACGCCGAGUGAGUGAUGAAGGUCUUCGGAUCGUAAAACUCUGUUAUUAGGGAAGAACAUAUGUGUAAGUAACUGUGCACAUCUUGACGGUACCUAAUCAGAAAGCCACGGCUAACUACGUG
rnacentral:rRNA from 1 species